rnacentral:lncRNA from 10 species
GCAAGAGCAACAUUCCAGCUGCCCCCCAGAUAGCUGGAGUGCCAGUUCCUGACGGGGGAUCAGCGAGGGGAGGCAAGGAGAAAGGGGGCGGGGAGAGAAGGUGCUGCAAAAUCAAAGGAAAUUCUUUGGCAGAAUCAGCCCUGCUGCGGAAAAAAAAAAAAAGGCAGACUGUGAUCAUCCCUCUGGUCCUGAAUGGAGUGAAUGAGACAAAAUCUUGUUUUCACAGUUCAAGUUUCUUUGCAGGUAUAGAUGCUAGCCAGUAGAAGAGGUAAAACAAUGUAAAUGAACAAGGACGUGGUGAUUUUGACUGAGCCUAUGGAAGAUAAUAUGGACUCAAGCUAGCCAUUAUAUACAUACUCAGUUUCCUUGCUUCAUGACUGCUCCCACUGUCUGUGGCACAAAUUCUUCCUGAAUACCAACCUGAACUUCUGCUCAGAGGAGUUUACGGACACCAUGUGUGACACCACCUCUAAUUAACGUGUGCAUGGAUUUUCUUCACUGUAAUGGCAUUACCAUGAGGAAGAAGCCUGUUGCCAGGGCAACAGUACUGUGGAUUCUUCCCAGUGCAGUCACUGCUGAAAACUUCAUCUUCCAGAACUUUCCCAGUUUUUUUGACGAAUAAAAUGUUUUGAUCAAGAGUGUAAACCUACUGCCCUUACUGACUGGUUUCUCUCCUUAUUUUGUUGUGGUUUGGUGGUGGUGAUGGUGAUUGUCAUUGAUGUUAGCUUUUGGUUGUUGUAUUAUUAUCGUUUUUUUCUCUCUAUUUUUACUCAAGAGGGAGCUGAUCUGUAUAGUUUCCCUGAAUGUCUUCAUGAUUUUAAUUUUUGUAAUCUCCACUAAUAUUCAUUCCGUCUAUAAAACAAAUCCUUUCCUGAAUUUUACUUGUUGUCAGUUUUCCCAAUUCAACAUGACUCAAUCUCUGAAAGUAUCUUCUUACUCUUAUUGUCUCUCCAUAAAAGAGUAUAUUGCAGUUUUUCUCUGCAUGUCCUUCUUGCCUUUCUUUUUAACCACAUUACUUUGCUACAUUACUUUAAAGCUAAUAUUCAAAACAUAUAUUUUUAUAAUUGCUUUACAAUUAAAUACAUAGAACUACAUAAAAUAUCAACUCUCCAAUUCAUUCUGUCAAAGAAUACUUUUAAUAAGCUCCAAGCAUUUCAUUGAGAAGCAAUACUUUUUAAACCUCACAGAUAAGACCUACUCCUUUUUCUUAUUUCUAAUUGUGCCUGAUUUCUUCCAGUGUUUCCCAAUGUAGUUUUCAUUGCUAAGUCAGAAUAAAUUCAAACUUUCUUGCUAUGUGAAAGCUGAAAUGUAGUUCCUACUUUGAAGUGUUCUCUGGGUAGGAAUAAAAAUAUUCCACAUGUUAACACUUUGCAUUCUC